rnacentral:rRNA from 1 species
CGUAGGGGGCAAGCGUUGUCCGGAUUUAUUGGGCGUAAAGAGCGUGUAGGCGGCUUUACAGGUCCGUUGUGAAAACUCGAGGCUCAACCUCGAGACGCCGGUGGAAACCGUAAAGCUAGAGUCCGGAAGAGGAGAGUGGAAUUCCUGGUGUAGCGGUGAAAUGCGCAGAUAUCAGGAGGAACACCCGUGGCGAAAGCGGCUCUCUGGGACGGUACUGACGCUGAGACGCGAAAGCGUGGGGAGCAAACAGGAUUAGAUACCCUGGUAGUCCACGCCGUAAACGAUGGGUGCUAGGUGUGGGCGGUGUCGACUCCGUCCGUGCCGAAGCUAACGCAUUAAGCACCCCGCCUGGGGAGUACGGCCGCAAGGCUA